rnacentral:rRNA from 1 species
UACGUAGGGACCGAGCGUUGUCCGGAAUCAUUGGGCGUAAAGAGCGUGUAGGCGGCCUUUUAAGUCCUGCGUGAAAUCCUGCGGCUCAACCGCAGACGGUCGUGGGAAACUGGAAGGCUAGAGUGCGGGAGAGGAGAGUGGAAUUCCCGGUGUAGCGGUGAAAUGCGCAGAUAUCGGGAAGAACACCUAUGGCGAAGGCAGCUCUCUGGGACGGUACUGACGCUGAGACGCGAAAGCGUGGGGAGCAAACAGG